rnacentral:rRNA from 1 species
AAUCAACGCUGGCGGCGUGCCUCAGACAUGCAAGUCGAACGCGAAAGUCCCCUUCGGGGGAUGAUUAGAGUGGCGCACGGGUGAGUAACACGUAGGCAAUCUACCUUCGAGUGGGGAAUAACUCAGGGAAACUUGAGCUAAUACCGCAUAAUGCAGCGGCACCACAUGGUGACAGUUGUUAAAGCAUUUAUGCGCUUGAAGAGGAGCCUGCGGCAGAUUAGCUAGUUGGUAAGGUAAUGGCUUACCAAGGCUACGAUCUGUAACCGGCCUGAGAGGGCGGACGGUCACACUGACACUGAAUAACGGGUCAGACUCCUACGGGAGGCAGCAGUCGGGAAUUUUGGGCAAUGGGCGAAAGCCUGACCCAGCAACGCCGCGUGAAGGAUGAAAUCUUUCGGGAUGUAAACUUCGGAAGAAUAGGAAAGAAAAAAUAGACGGUACUAUUUUAAGGUCCGGCUACUACGUGCCAGCAGCCGCAGUAAC